rnacentral:rRNA from 1 species
AUUCCAGCUCCAAUAGCGUAUAUUAAAGUUGUUGCAGUUAAAAAGCUCGUAGUUGGAUUUCUGGCAGGAGUGACCGACCACAAACUCUGUUUGUGAGUUGUGUCAUUCUGGCCAUCCUUGGUAAGAUCCUUUUUGGCAUUAAGUUGUCGGGAAGGGGAUGACCAUCGUUUACUGUGAAAAAAUUAGAGUGUUUAAAGCAGGCUUAUGCCGUUGAAUAUAUUAGCAUGGAAUAAUAAGAUAGGACUUUGAGUCUAUUUUGUUGGUUUGCGAGUCAAAGUAAUGAUUAAUAGGGACAGUUGGGGGUAUUCGUAUUUCAUUGUCAGAGGUGAAAUUCUUGGAUUUCUGAAAGACGAACUACUGCGAAAGCAUUUACCAAGGAUGUUUUCAUCA